GAUGAACGCUAGCUACAGGCUUAACACAUGCAAGUCGCGGGGCAUCAUGGAGGUUGCUUGCAAUUUCUGAUGGCGACCGGCGCACGGGUGAGUAACGCGUAUCCAACCUUCCCAUUACUACGGCAUACCCCGUUGAAAGGCGGCCUAAUUCCGUAUGCAGUCCGAAGCAGUCAUCUAAUUUGGACGAAAGGUAUAUUCUAUCGGUAAUGGAUGGGGAUGCGUCCGAUUAGCCAGCCGGCGGGGUAACGGCCCACCGGGGCAUUGAUCGGUAGGGGUUCUGAGAGGAAGGUCCCCCACACUGGAACUGAGACACGGUCCAGACUCCUACGGGAGGCAGCAGUGAGGAAUAUUGGUCAAUGGGCGUAAGCCUGAACCAGCCAAGUAGCGUGCAGGAUGACGGCCCUAUGGGUUGUAAACUGCUUUUAUGCGGGGAUAAAGUUGGGGACGUGUCCCUUUUUGCAGGUACCGCAUGAAUAAGGACCGCUAAU
rnacentral:rRNA from 1 species